UCAUCAGCAUUAAGGUAACUGAUGCCUACAGUGAGUUUGACUGCGGCCGAGUGAUUCGUCUCCUGCAGGCCUUCAUCACCCGAGACCUGAGCAGCUUCUACUUCAGCAUCAUCAAAGACAGGCUGUACUGUGAUGGGGAGAACUCUCUGGGCAGGAGGUCAUGUCAGACUGUGCUGGAGGAGAUUUUGGAUGGCGUGACUCGCUCCAUCGCUC